UCACCGCCGACAAGGUGAGCCAUGGAUCAGAAUCAGCGGGCCCGUCUGAUCCGUCGGGAAGUUCGCUUUCCAUUCGGUGGGUACAGGCGGAAAUUGAAUGCAGGGUCCAGUAUCUUCUCUGCCUAGAGCGGUGCUCAUUUGGAAGCUCGGGCCUGCAGCGUAGAGAAAAAGAGCGGCGGCUGCGAGGCACCAUGGAUUUCCUGAUGCAGCCAAUCGACGGAUCCACUCUCCUUGCAGAUUUAGGCGAGAGCUUGGUGCCGGUCCCUGUGCCGCAAGCGCCGUCGGGAGGCGCUAUGGUGGAGGAGUAGGAGGUGGCGGAGCAGCAACGGGCGGUGGACAGCGCAGACGCUCAGAUUUUCGCGGCCAAGGAGGCGGCGGCGGAUAGGAGGGAGAGCUCGCCUCCGACGUCGGAGCUGUCAGUUGGGAAGAUGAAUCCGCAGGUGGUGACUGUGUGGAACAAGAGGCUGAGGAUAGGUGCUGCCGCACCGAGCAGACCACCCUGCCCAACUCGGGGUAAAGUUGGUGUUAAGAACACAAGGUCUUGCCGUUGCAAAUGUCAGACGCUGGGUGGUACAUCACAGAGCAUUGGGAGAGCCACAACCAUUCCCUUUCACCAAACUUUGGCGAGAUGGUGCAUUGGCCAUGGCACAAGCAUAUAUAUCUGAUAAAGCAGUUGCGGCAAAACAAUGCCAACCUUGCGAAGGUGUAUGGUAUCAUAGGGAACUUCUUUGGAUCAAUGGAGAAUGUGCCAUUCACCAAAAGGUCUUUGUGCAAUCUCCGUGGGAAGAUAAAUAGGGAGCAGGUCGAUGAUGAUGGAGGUGUUUGCUGAAAUUGGGGCCAAGGAUCCGCAUUUCACAUACAAAAUUGCUGACAAUGAGGGCGGGCUUAACAACCUGAUGUGGGCAAGUGGAAACAGCAAGCUGCAGUACACAUUUUUCAGGAAUGUGAUAACAUUUGACACCAUGUACUGGACUAAUUUGUACGAAAUGAUGUUCAGGCUAUUGUUGGUGUUAAUAGUCAUUUCCAGAGUACCAUCCCGGCAGAGGUGCUUGUUUGUGAUGAGACAACUGAGAGUUCUGAAUGUUUUCUCAAAAUUUCUUAGAGUGAUGGGCGGCGCUCCUCUGAUGACUAUACUUACUGGUAAGUUCUUGCUUUCCUGGUGUGUUUUGCAGACCCUAUUCAGGCUAUGGAGCUGGCUAUCAAAGAGCAUUAUGCCAGACACCACAUGAUGGCGGUGCAAGUGUCACAUGCUCAAGAACGCAAAGUAAACGUUGGGCCCUCUGUACACCAAGAAGAGUGAAUUCAAAGCAGAGUCCCAUGAGGUGGUGAACUACAUGCUCACGGUAGAUGGGUUUGAGAAUGGGUGGGUGAUGCUGCUGGAUGAAUACAACCUAUGGAGACGCCCAUACAUGACUCAACUUCUCGAGAUCAGAAAGAAAUGGACAAAGCCGUAUUUCGAAGGUGUUUUAUGUGCAACGAUGAGCACAUAAAGGAGUGAUGGUGUCUAAUGGAUAUGUUUGUGCAGAAGUAUAUGAUGCUUCUGUUCGACAGACUCGGGAGAGAACUAUUGAGGAGAAGAGAACAAGAAUUUGUUAUUUCAGUUUGGAAAAUAUAGAGUAGUGAGCAUGGUACUAAUGGUUACAACUGGUUCCUAAUUGGGGAGAUCUUUGAUGAGGGUGCUUUGACAGGUGGAGUUGUUGGGAGAAAUGUGGCUGCCGGAAACAGUAAUCAUCGCUGGCAGGCAAAAAUUGUAGGUUAGUCAACUGUGGUAUAAAUUUGUCAAUUGAAAUGUGCUUGAAAUACAUACUUAAAUAAGGGGCCGUUCGGAAUCACUCCGCUCUGUAACUCCGCCAUGGAGCGGAGCGGCACCGUGGAGCGGAGCGGAGCGGGCGGAGCACCACUUUCGCCGCUCGCUAAAAUUGAACUGGGUGCCGCUCCGCUCCCUGACGGAGGAGCAGAGGAUUCCCGAACACAGCCUAAAUGUGGUUCGCAGGACGGAGGUAUGUUGGUGGUGCCUCCGAGACAGGGAACAUGGGUUCUGCCAAAGUGGUCUUGGAGACGGUAGGGGAAUAAGAAGUCAGAAAGAGGCAACAAAAGGCGGAGGAGAGUGCGGUUCUCGAACAUUGUUGAAACGAUUUGUCGAUCGGAAACCUCAGAAACCGAAGACACUUCAAGUGAUAAUCACAGCAUGGCAAGUGAGGAUGAUGACCUUCGUGCGGGUCGUGCUGGAAGUGACAAGGAGCAAGGUUAUAAUACAGUGGUGGCACUGGAAAGGGUGGCGACAGAGUCCAAAAGGGUGGAGGUGCUGCUGCUGCACUUGGUUCUGGAAUUGGCAUGGAAGGAGGGGCAGCUGAUGAUGGAACUAAUUCUUGUGGGAGGAUCCAGCGUCAUGACUGUGACUGUGAGCCUGGAUACACAUUCAGGGGUUCUUCGGAUUAGUGGAAUUGUUGAAUGUUUGAGAGUAGUAUAUAGUGCAUAUCAGGGCGGAUGUACGGAUAACUUGUGUCGACCACAAUGUCAGAGGUUGGAGGUAGCUCAAGCCAAGGAGGAUGUGGUGGCAA